CAGGUGGCUCUCAUGGGCUGCUGGUUGCCUUUGCUUUAUUCAGAUUGCUGGAUACAGAAUACACCCUGAAUCAACAGUGUCAUCUGUAAAGCUCCAGGCAGUCUGGGAAUGGACAAGCAACACAAACUCCUCCACACUUGCAUCCUGAAACAUCAGUGGCAGCAACGAGGUUUCUAGGAAUGCUCCUGAAAUCACAGUCAUUUCAUACAAGGAACCAACAGGAAUUAAUGGCAGAACUUGGACUUUAAUGCUGUCACGUGUACCCUCCCUACAGUGCACUGAUGGGGGGUGGCAAAUAUAGGAUAGACUCCUUCAAACAACACGUGGGCCCUCCAGUGGUGCUCACCAUGUCUCUGCGCUAAAGAAGGGAGGAAAACAGUGGUCCAAGCAGCAACGUGAAGCAAGCACAGAUAGGCUGGUGCUUCAUGGAGUCCCCAGCAACUUGUUCAGGAAGAGUCGUCAUAAAGAGAGC